rnacentral:tRNA from 1 species
GGCCCCUUCGUCUAGUGGUCUAGGACGUCGCCCUCUCACGGCGAAAACACGGGUUCGAGUCCCGUAGGGGUCACCA